AGUGAACGCUGGCGGUAGGCCUAACACAUGCAAGUCGAACGGCAGCACAGUAAGAGCUUGCUCUUACGGGUGGCGAGUGGCGGACGGGUGAGGAAUACAUCGGAAUCUACUUUUUCGUGGGGGAUAACGUAGGGAAACUUACGCUAAUACCGCAUACGACCUACGGGUGAAAGCAGGGGAUCUUCGGACCUUGCGCGAUUGAAUGAGCCGAUGUCGGAUUAGCUAGUUGGCGGGGUAAAGGCCCACCAAGGCGAGGAUCCGUAGCUGGUCUGAGAGGAUGAUCGCCCGCACUGGAACGGAGACACGGUCCAGACUCCUACGGGAGGCAGCAGUGGGGAAUAUUGGACAAUGGGGGCAAGCCUGACCCAGCCAUACCGCGUGGGUGAAGAAGGCCUUCGGGUUGUAAAGCCCUUUUGUUGGGAAAGAAAAGCAGCAGGUUAAUACCCCGCGGUUCUGACGGUACCCAAAGAAUAAGCACCGGCUAACUUCGUG
rnacentral:rRNA from 1 species